GUAUUUUUUUUAUUUCAAGUUUUAUCAAUAAAUUGCUGGUGCAAAUUCCAGCAAAUUGAAGUAAUUUUGAAUUUGCAGUAUUUAUUACACAUCGCUCCGCUCCGCUCCGGAAAACCAAUUCAACACUGGAGACUGCAGAAUACGAAUCCCCAAAUUAUGACGAAAUUUAAGCCUCCAUCGAAGCGAAUAAAAACCGACCCCUCAAUUUCUUCCAGCUAUUUGCUUUUCAGGCAUAUCGCAAGAUCCUAAUUUUAGGCAAACAUGGUUUUCUUGAUUUUUGGUUAGUUAACAGAAGAGUGUUAUGUGUGUGAUAUCAGCAGCUCAAAAGGGAUUCAACAGGCAAGGGAUUAUGCAGUUGCCCAAGCGAAGCAAGAUGGUUGUACUGGAAACUUUAGAGUAUUCGACUCCCCAUUUGGAAAUUUUCUAGUUCCUGUGAUUCCAACUCGUGCACAACUUGGUGGAUUAGAUGAGACUUCUUCUGCUUGUAUUCCUACUAACACUGCUGGACUGUAAUUCAAGUUUUUCUCUCUUAUGCUGUAGAUUUCUUGGAUAUUUUCUUUUUGCUUGAAAAUGAUGACACAACUCGAAAUUUAUGUUUUCAGUUAACCAGAUGACAUUAUUACAGCA